GCCGGAGCUCUGCACGGGGAGACAGACAGACGGUCAGAGUGCGCGGGGAGCCGGUCGGGACGCGGGGCCUCCGGUAGCACCGCCGAGUACCCGCCCCGCGUGGCGUGGAAAAGCAUCUCACGGGAAAAGGAGUACUUCAUGGUGAAGUUCAGAUGGGAAGAGAGGGAGGGAAUGAAUACAUAAAACCAAUUAACUGAAUUCUUGUUCGCUGUAUUGCAACGCAGAGAGAGCAAGAGUCUACUUUUUUUAUUCAGCGUGGAGAUAACUUCUGAGUAAUGUGUACACAGAGCUAUUGAGCACCUAUCUUGCAUCCAUUCAGAUCCCCCUAGUCUGCCAGACACAAAAGAAAAUAACGUGACAGAAAAUUAAGGUUUGAAGAAGGCACACAGAGUUUUACCUGCUUCCUACGCCUACAAGGCCAACCAUGUAACAGAGGAAGAAUCUGGAAUAAGAAAACAUCUAGCUUCAAAUACUUUCCUCAGCCUUCUGAACGUCUCAUUGUAGAUUGUAUUCUAUUAUACCUAUGUUUUAAUAGCAAACCAAAUUACUCCUGCCAUAAAAGGUAUAUCAGAGUAUGCAAACACUCUGGACAGCAAAGAGCAAAUUAAAGUUCUGAGUUCUAAGUAGCUUUUGAAUUUCUGAUGGGCACAGAUUAUUUUCAAGAAAAAAAUAAAAGGAGGACUUGGAAGAUUUUUUUAAAAUGACUGAAUGAAAAUCUAAAACAGUGGUAUUGAUAUUCUGCUUUUAGUAACAACUGUUAACAUUCCUGACUCCUAAGUUUCCCUCCUUACAAACAUUCAUUUUUUUUCAAACUGUUUCAAUCCCAUGUUUUAAAACAAAGUUUCAAGACUUGAUCCAGCAAUCAAUCAACAUUUAACUAUUUGAAAAUACAGGUUCUUAUAAUUACACGACACCAGUAAUACUGUUAAUAAUUAAAUUAUCAGAUUGUUUUCUCUUAUAAAAUCCAUUUUAAGUUGCCUUAUCUUAUGUUUGGUUGAAAAUAUUCCCUUCCCAAGGUUGAAGUUUCUUGAAAAUUUUUAGUCAAAAGCUGAUUGAGAAGCCUGAGAGCUAGAUGAUGAAAAUAUCCAGUAGUUAUUCGUCAACACUAAAAAAAUAUCCCAGUAAUCUUUUUUGAGAAGACUCUAGGCUUUGGGAUGGAUACUUCAAAUAUGAAUAUCCUUUAAGCUAGACAUAGGCCUUUUGCCAACUUUGUUAAAAAUCUGUCUACAUUUGUCAGAGCGAUAAGGCUUUGAGAUAUAAAUAUCAUCUGCUAUCCCUGUGAUCUCACUGCUCUGAUGCGAAAGCUGCUCCAGAACCUACUGCUGUCUUGUUUACAAGUAAUCUUCCUCUAGUUGCCACCUGAAACUUAUUCCUGGUCUUUUGUUUUUUGUGACAACAGCGUUCAUUUCCUUAAAUACCUUUUUUGCUUCCCCGAUGCAUUCAUAGCCUGUAUUGUACCUCCCCUCAGCCUUUUUUGGUUUUGUUGAGCUAAGCAAGUCAACUUCUUUUAAUCCUCCUCAUCUGCUAGUAGUACUUCUUUGCAAAGAUAAAAAGUUUGAUUUAGCUAUUCCUAGGGCCCAGGUGACUACCAAUGUGAUUUUACGAGAUUUUUAGUUUUAAAAAGCCAUGUUUGAAUUUAUCAAUUAAAAUAUCUUCAAUUUAUCAACUAAAAUCCCUUCAGACACCCACUAAACAAAGACUUUCAGGGGUCUUACAGCUGCCGGGCCAAUACCCCAGCAUCAUCAUGGACUGACCAAGAAAAUUCCACCUUCGCAGUUCUUACCUUUGCUCUCAGGACACCUACCAUUCCCACCGAGGAGCUGAACAGGAUCCUUCCAGCCUGGAGGUACGGAGGCAAAACUAAUCUUUCCAUCUAAUAGUCAUCUGCUGUGGUCGCAGGCCAAUGGCAGUGCAGGCAAGAGGCAUGGAGAGCAAGGGAGAGCAGGAACCAGACCUGACAGGCAGGCGACCAUUUCUUUUAUGCUCUCUGUGACUCGCUCGGCCGUGCUUAGCCAGCGAGAGGAAGAAGCCGUAUGAUCUGAAUGUAGAGAGGACAAACACCGGAACCGGUGCACUGGAGGAAAGGGCUGGAGAAAUACACUGGGACUGACAGCCUGAGGGACGAACACAGAGACCAGCAGAGCCUCGGAGCUGCAGCUGAAAAGCGUUCAAGGGAGCAGCAGAGUUCAUGGCUAAGGACUAGAGGAGAAAUGGACCUGCAAGGUAACAGCUGGGACUAGUAACCAUCAAUGCUGGAGAGAGCAGAUCAGGGCAGAGCUAAGGAUUUGAGAUGCUGGCAUACCUGGUCUAGUGGGAGGUGUCCCUGCCCAUGACAGGGGGACUGGAACUAGAUGAUUUUUAAGGUCCCUUCCAACCCAAACUAUUCUAUGAUUCUAUGAAACUGGUAUUGCCUCAGCAAAAGGCUUUAAACAAGGUUCUCUGAUGAAUGAGGAGGGUAGAAACUGUGUGUGAGAUCUCCAAGAAAAGAGACGAGAGCCAAAGAAGGUACGCAUAGAGUAUGCAACCAAAUGCCACAGGGAGACAGAGAAAUCAAAGACACUCAUUGAACAAGUGCCUCAGAGCAACGAGAUGACUGACUAGGUGAGCCUGUGAAGGGCUGUGCAAGAGGUGUGACAUGGAGGAGUGAUGCAAGGACUGACAAAGUGAGAGAAGAAAGGCUGAGGUUGGCAGAGGAGUGAGGACUGGGCAGUGAGGAAGGAGCCAGCGGUGGGGCAGAGGCAGGUCAGGAGCAAGCUGGAGGAGACAAGGCAGAAAGAGCCAUGCUUGGGAAGAAUGAGCACAAGAAAGCAGAUCUCCCUAGGGAGCCUGGUAGGAAAUGGGAACUUCACCUCAACUCUGCCAUUAGCAAAUAUCUGAGAGCUCUUCUAGAAAAACUACCUCUUCCCCUGUGUUACUGAUUCAUUUGGAGGAAUACAAAUUAUCAUCAGUCUCUCCCUGCAAUCCAAUAGCAGAAUUUUCUGUGUUGUUGUUCAAGUGUCAAAACCUGCUGAUGAGCCACAGAACAGAGCUGGGUUUAAGUUUACUUCUUGUCAACAGCAGAAAAUUAAAUACCAAGUUCCUGUUAAAAUAUUUUUCUUAAGGUUACAAAGUCAAGCACUAAAUUGUUACCAAAUCCCAGGUUCAAGGUUCACCAUGCAACCUUAGUUCAUCCUGCUUAUUUAUACAUCAUGAUGCAGUCAUAAUGAUGUGGUCGUAUGCUAUUACAUCCCCAGUGUCUUGCUCUUAUUUAGUGCAAAUGAUGGGUGAUAUUCACUCCAUAAACAGUUGAUCAAUAUUGUGUUUUGUCAUCCUUUGUUCAGUGGGCAGCCCCAGAACUUCACCUGUUUCAUGCUAUUCAAAUGCUGGUGUGAAGAAGAAAUUAUUAUUUCCUAGACUGUUCUGUGGCACAGUAGUAUCUGAGUGCUUCAUGAAUACUAAUGAUCUUUCCCAUUACACAGGAAGCAAAGGGAAACCAGCAGAUCAAUUGUGAUUCCUAGGUCAAAUUGAGAUGCCCACCCUUCAAUCUCCAAGGCAGCACUCACUGCUUUUUAAAGAAAUAAGAGAUCCUCUCUCUUCCUGCAAUCUCCUAUUUUAUUCGUUUACACACUUUACAACUUCUGCACAACUCCUACACAUAAGAGUCAUCUUAAGAGCACUUCCAUCCUACGAUGAAUACAGAAAACACCCUGUGAAUAAACAGUACACCAUCAUACAAUUAAAGUCGAUAUGAGAACGCAGAAUCGACUGAAUUAAAGCUGCACGUGUAACCUUAAUUCCAGCAUUUCCUAACGUUUUAAUAGUUGCCUUUGCCAAACUAUUCUUUUAACAUAAUACCCAUGUGCAAUGUUAUAUAUAAAUACAAAUGGAUAAGGGAGUCCCUUGCUAUAUAAAGAUGUACUGUUUAUGUGCCACAGUAGGAUGUUACACAAUACAACUCUGAAGAGUGACUCCUGUGGCAGCAAAGGAAAAGGAAACAUCUGCAUUUAGACUCUAUAAUUACUAUGCAUCUAUGAGACAAUUACUGGUCAUUUUAAGUUGUGCAAACACCACUAUCAUAACACAGUCAGAGCUGAUUAAUAUUUUUUUUCAACCUGCCUUUAGCUACCAUGCAGAAUUUCCUAUAUGUAAUCCACAGUUUAGAAAGCAAACCACCAUACUGGCAAGUGAAGUCAAAGGUGUUUAUUUGAUAGUAAGCACUAUUUUUACAUCAAAAAGAGUGUAAUUGGCUAUGCUGCUUGCUGUUCCCCCGCCUCUCCCAAGACUAGCUCUGAUGCUUUCUUUUUUCUGAGCUUCUAAGAGAGAACAGCAGUCAAAGUCACAUCCUACAACAAAGAUUGCUCUUAGCUUCGUGCUGAUGGUGCACCUUGACCCUAACUUUCAACACUUUAAAUCAAACAGAACCAGGCUGGUUUAAUCUCUCAUCCCAUUUUCACUAAAUAAGCAUUUGCCCCAGGAAUGAAAAUUGAUACAGACAAAACAAAAAUUCUAUGGAAUCAGCUUAGCUAUCAAGACAAAACCUGUUAUAUUAGAGGAAUUUGCCCACAGUGUAGGAUGACUUGAAACUGUGUAUAGAAAAAUAACAUAGAUUUGAUGCUAUUUGCAACCACACAAGUGUAAAUCUAAGUAAAUAGACUCAAGCAUGAUCACAUCACAAGGACAAUUAAUUCAAAUGACCUUAACUCUCCACAUAAGAGCUAGCAGUGAAAUGUCAGUUAAAGUGCUCUAAAUGUGGAUCUGUACCGUUACUGCUAUGCUUAUUUCUAUAUAUUUUUACUUAUAUGUGUCGUCAAUAAUUAUUACCACUAUGGCAAUUAACUGUUUCUUUUGCCCUACGCUUAAUAGCUGUAAUAACUCAUCACAGAAAAAAAAAAUCACUAGAAAGACAACUCAACAAUAAUUUUAAAUCUCAGAUCUAAUUCUCAAUGUGUUUUCAUUGUGUUUUAACAAAAAGCAUUUUUAAAGUUGUGAAGAUAUCACCUCCCUGGCCUAGUGUAACUCACGGCAAUACACCUUUAAGAAAUUCCUUCAAAAAAUCUAAACUGCCUAAAAGCUGGGCAAAAGGAGUGGAAGAAAUGGGCAAUUGCUACAAUGCAAUAGCUGAGCUGCAGGGUGGAGAGGGAAAAGCAGCCAAGAGGAAAUCGGGAGGAGGCAGCAAGGGAGGAGGUCACAGGAGCCAGCAGAAGAGCGGGAAAAUGAAGUCCGUGACAAACUGUUUAUGAAGAAUUUAUUAAUGAGGAGUUAUUUGCUAUAAGAAAAGCAAUAAAACACAACAGUCCAAGAAAGAGAUGUAAACGCUCUCUUGGUAGGCACAUCUAUGUUUGGAAAGAGAAGGGGUACCUUUAAAGUCAACCCAGUGCCCACUGAAAGCCUUCUCUUUAUUUCUGAUGACAGGAUUUAGCAUUUAUGGUCAUAUUUGCAAAGAUCCUACACACCUAAAAUAGGUUGCUUGAGGUAUUUAAAAAAAUGUUUAAGAUGGCUAGAUGCUUAAAUCUUGUUAAAAACUCUACGAAUCAAUCACCUAAUAAAUCAGGUGCUUUUCAAAAUCCUCAUCAAUAGCCUUUAGGUCUUAAAGCAAAAAAUGGAGCCCUUUUUUCCCUUUUUGUAUAUUCAUUCACAUGUUCCCUUGCCUUCCUUCAUUGUGGCUGUGCUCAAAUUAUCGUGGGAGAGGACACGUGUGUGUGUAUACACGCUCAAGUGCGUGCAGAGUCUGGUAGCUCACAGCUUUGUCAUACAUCUUGAGAACAUUAAUACAAUGUUAAUAAAAAUGCUGAAGGUGAAAGAUGAUAAUGUUUUGCCAUAUUUGCUUCUAAAUGUGAUUCACAGGAGAUACAAUCCAACACAAGCAGAUGUCACCAAAAGAAAGAAGGUAUGAAUGCAAUCUACAGAUUAAAUAGCUAAUACUUGGAAUUAACAAAGUCUUGUGCAGGGUGAUGAGUCAUUUUUGUAUGUCAUAUGUAUUAGGUCAUUCAAAUAUCACAUAAAGUACAUCAUCGUAUUGGAAAACUAGUAAAUAACACCAGAGUAAGAAUAAAUGGAAAAUAACAAAAUGAAAUGGCAACUAUUUAAUAGAACAUAUAAAAAACUCUUAGAAAGCCCUGUAGAACAACUUCAUCCAUAUGAAAAAUUUCAUCUCAAGUAAGCUGAGUGUCAGCUAAUACCCAGACUUCUUCUGUAAAUGAUUUGGUAUCAGAUGCUUAAAAAACCUCCUAAAUGUUUUUCUUACAGAAUUGUAAUACUGUUUUUCUCAUAAGUUUUAAUGCUUAAACACAUAAAAGAAAAAACCAGGACGGGGGAAUGAGACCAUGGAUGGGACAGCUCAUGGUUUUACAUGCAUUAGAAACUGUUUAACUUUACUUUCAAGCUUGCACCAUCAGAGCCUUUACAGUGCAAGCUUCAGGUCAGUCAUGGGAAUAGUCUCAGUGGAGCCAAAUGAAGCUGCUCCCAUCAGUAGAUUUUUUACAUGUGUCCUCCCAGACAUCUGAUGUUUCUUUCGGUUCCCUUGUAGUGACUUGUAGCAAUGCUGCAUCCACCCCUAAGGAGCUAAAUUGCUUCAGCAAAUGGCAGUCUUUAAAUAAUUAGAAACAGGUUCGUUAGGAGACACUGAGGGAUACCCAAAAGCAGCAAUCCUUCUGAGAUCAUCCUUAAUAAUCAUUAUUUGUCAUCAGUUUAUUCUUUGUAUAUCUUCAGAGAUACUUUUUUUUUUUUUAAACACUAUUUACUAGAUAAUCGCCUCAAUAUGUGCUGUUGCUGCAGUGCUGGGACAAAACAGACCAGUGAGUUUGGAUGUGUAAAGUACAAGGCUUUUGAGUAGAAACAGGGAUUUCACAACUGAAAGUGAACGAACCAGAUUUAUUUAUGCCCCAGUCUCUGUAGCCUUAUCUGCCACGCAUCUUACUGUGAUCCUGUUAUGACAAAUGCAAGUGCAAAUUUUGGUACUACAUCUCAUGAUCUUAAGUAAUCCUUGGUGGCUGCAUGAGUCAGGCAAGUUAGGAGCCCUUCAAAGUGUUUAACAAUGGAGAUGUUAAAAGAUGCAGCUUUGACAGCAUCUCUUUUCAACUAUGUAUUUGGACAUACAGGUGAAAUUAGAAUUUGGCAGGACUGUAUGUCUAACUAACCCCACAGCUCAGGAGCCAGAUAUGUUUACACAAACUCAAGGCCAUCUUUUGGUUCCAGGCCAGCACAGGGAAAAAACCUAUUAAUAAUUUGCAGAGUUUUAUACUUUUACUUCAGAGCAGACCACUAGUUAAAAUACAGAUAAUAAUUGCAAAAUGCUUGUAAUAAAACCCACAGUUUAAAGUUUGCCCUGAAGAAUUAUUGCUAGACAGCAGUGAGCUCACCAUAGGAGACUUCUGUGCAUCCUUCCACACCUUCAGAAAAUUUAACUACCCAUACAGAAUCAGAUACCCGAUUGUUGAAAGGACUGAUAUGUAACACCCCUUUGACUUGCAUGAAGUCAUGCUAAUUUAAAGAACAUGCUUCUGUUUCUUCUCAAGAGUUCUCCAUUGUGUUCAAAGAUUCAAAGCACACUUCAGUAAUAGGUAUCUGUACUCUCCUCAGUGUGAAGUUGAUGUAAAACUGUCACCUAUAGAGAAUGUCAGCACAAAUAAUAGAGACACCAAUAAGAGGGUCAGCUACAGGGCACAAUAUAUAACAACGUGCCAUUAUGUUGAUGUUGCACUGUAGUAAGAUGAAUAAAAUAAAGUGAAAAUGAUAUGAACUCUGUCUGGUAAGGGUCAGUAUUAGGACAAAAUGUAUUUCAUGUCUUCAUUAAUGGCCUGGAAGGUGUAAAAAAAAUAAUGAAAUUUUCAGAGAAAACUAAUGUUCUAUUUCUGCAAAGAUCUGGUCACGUAGAUUUUUAAGGGGAGCAAUUAUUGUCUUCAACAGGUUUACUCCCAUACACACAAUUACACCUAAUUUAGUUCUGACAAGAUCAGGGACAAUACUGGAAAGAUCUCAGAUUGCUACGCAGGAAGUGAGAAAUAAUCCAAGCAAAUUCAGAUAAUUAUAGCCACGACUAGGAAACUGACAAACAAGAUUUAGACACAACAAAACCAACCAAAUACAAAAUAGUCUAAAUUAGCAGGAAUAAGAAAGCCUAGCAUCUAAACACCCAUCAAAACUUUUAAUGAAAUAUCUGAAGUGUCUUCAAGCCUAUAUCUUAAUAUGGCAACAAAACAGGCUAACAUAUUUUAGGACUGAUUACUCAAAUAUUUCCUGGAGUAAAGAAAAAUCUUUCCAUAAGGCUUUUUUAUAAUUACUUUGGAAAUACCGUUCUCUCUUGUCAGGAAACAUAGUCAAAAAAGCACAAGUAGGAAAAAAGCAACAAAAAUGAUCAGACGAAGACCUGUUUUAUGAGGAGAAAUUAUGUCUUCUAGUUAGCAGACAUCAUACAUAAUUUUUUUCAAGUGAUGACUAAGCAGGAUAUGGCCAUAGCUGCCUACAAAUAUUUCCACAGUGUAAACAUCAAGACAACAGAUGAUUUAUUUAAAGUGGUUCAAGUGGGCAGAGCUAGGAAUAACAGGAAAAAAUAAUGGAAAGAAAUUAUGCAGACUAACAAGAGCAUUUCUGGCACUGAAUCAUGUAAAACUGUACAAAGAUAAAGGCCGAAAGUCUCAUCUUCGAGACACUGAGACUAAGUGGAAUGAAGCUGCAAACAACUGCGGGAUGGAUAACAUUGUGACUGCGUGGAACUUCACAACGCUGCAGUGAUUUGUCAGGGCAUGAACCUUACUCACCCUGUCACUAUGGCGUUAAUAAUACAUUCAGAAUAACUUACAACGUCCAUGAGAAAUGAAAUUGGUGACUUAUGUUUUCUGGAUCAUAGUCUAAUAAAGAUAAUGAUUUAUUCUUUUUUGUAGAAAUGUGAGUUCAUUGAGGCUGUAGAAAAAAAGGCUAUCAAAAGAACUACAUAAUGUUGCAUAAAAGAUAUACUGCAAAAGCAAUUUCAAAAUAGUGACAUAAUGGUGACAGCACGGAGAGAAGUUUUCUCUAAAUCUGGGAUUUAUUAUUGUUUCAGUGGUAGGUCUUGUCAGACACAGCGUAGACCCAUGAAAUGAUAUGAAAGUGAAGUCACAUAGUAACACUGCGCAUUUUCUGUUCUUGUACAUUUUUUUUUCUUUGCUGGUCAUGAAUUCCCUGACACGUUACUGAUUUGGGGGAAAAGCAGGGGUUUCUUAGGUUCACUAAUCCAGUCUUCAAAGCCUGUUUUGCUGCUUACAUUGUUUCCACAGUUUUUGGUCUUUAAUUCACCACCACUGAUGCUCUUUUUCCCAUGUUGGUAAUCAGUGGCAGUUGGUAACAGCCUCAGCAAUUACAGGCAGGCUUACCCUCAGCAUAAGCCUACCAUGGAAAAAAUAAAAACAAUUGAAUAAAAAAGGGAAUCAAAAAAACAGGAUUGGAGUGGAAAAUAAUAAAGAAGAUGAUGGAAGAAAUGAAGGAAGGACAACAAAGCGGAGAAAGGACCAGAAGCAAGUAACGAACAGAGGAGAGCCUGAUGAGAGGCUGGAGACCUUAAGAAUAACAGAGUUAGACAAAGUAGUCUAGAAAGCAAGAUAGGAUGGGAGUGAAAGGGACAUGGUUAAGAAGAAAGGAAGAGCAGAUACUAUAAGAAAAGCAGAAGACGAAUCCAUCAGAUCAAAUUAAACCACAGGAACAGCAACAGAGUAAAACAAAUAAUAUGUAGAAGUAUGAAAGAAAGAGGAAAUUGGGGACUAGUGAAGUGAAUGCAGAGAAACGAAAUGUAUCGGCUAAAAAGGUAAAAGUUCUGACAGUUGUUGUCAGCUCUGGCUUUCUUUUCCUUGCACAAGUUUCUUGCUGUCUCAGGCAACGUAAUUCCACUAAGGAAUGCUCUUUCUCAAACUGACUUCAGAGCUUACUGAUGAUUCUUGGUGCUCAGUUAACACAAAUCGAGGAAGGUUCAGUUAGGUGGAGCAACAUCAAGGUAAUCUUUUUUAGGGUAUGCUCAAUAGUUACCUUUUUAAAGAUACUGGCUUAAUAGAAGUAGUUAAAGCCCCUUAACAUUGUCCCAGAUAGCUUAGUCAGCAAAUGCAUCAAAGCAAUGAACUCUCAUUAAAAAGAGAAAUUCAUUAUGUCUGCAGGAUAUAUCUUCACGUGCAUUUACAUUAGGAAUUGUGUAAGUGUUCAAUGAAUUGUCGUGUGUCCUCACUAAAAGUAGGUUAUCAAUAUUAAAAGAACUGUGAACAGCUCAAGCUGAGGAGCAAAGAAUGAUAAGACUUGAUACACGUUUUAUUGAGCAGAAAGAUUGUAAAUGCUGUAUAAAGCAGAAGAGACCUUAAAAUUGUAUCUACUAACGAAAUGUCAUAUAAAUUUUGUUCGGUACAUAGAAUCUCUGAUAAAUGUAAUUGAGUGAGGAAUGUUGUCAAUAACAAACAUAUGUUGUAAAAAUCUGUUAAGCAAUAUCACUAUAAAACUAUCAAAUGUUUUAUAGUGUAUCAUAUCAAAUGUCUUAUUUGAAUACUGACUAUAGACUGAAUAUCAAAUAAAAAUCAAAAUUAAAAAAAGCCCUCUUCGUAACCCAAUUUUUUGGAGUUAUGAAUCAACAUUAAAUACAGUCUGACAAACUCAUAUCUAGAUUCACUGAACAUGAGAACUGAAAAAGUUUUUAAAUAGAGGAACAGAAUAUGGAUGGCCCCAAAAUUACAAUUAUAUUACGUGCCUCUAUAAUAUACUUUGAGUGCUAUUUAUCCCUAAAGGUAGAAUACUUACAGGUUUUCGAGUUGGGGUAACUUGAACAGAAUGAUAAAAUUCUGGUUGAACUCGGCUGCUUUUCUUGAGUUUUCUUUUUCUUACAGAAGUUUCCUGCUCACUUAGGUGGUGAGCUUCAACUAUAGGUUGUGUUUCCUCAAGGCGAGGUGCUACACGUCUUCUAGCGUGACGAGGACUUGAUCUAAAGCCCUGUAACAGAAAAAGCAAUCAUCGUGUUUGACAUCUCCCAGAAUGGACCCAUGUAACAACAGAAAAAUCAUACAGGAUCUUAACAAUGACAAGAUGAUGGCUACUGGCCGAAGCCUGGUUAUACACCCUGCGCUGCAGCUGCUCCCUCACCACGCUCCCAUUCCCAUUAGCUGGAUAAAACUCUUUGGGAAAGUACGUUUAUGUAACAGAAGAAUUUGGUAGAAGCUAAGCAGCUCUAAAAGUACUUAGAGACACAUGCCAAAUAGGGAUUUGAGUAUGUGGGUCUCUCUCACUGAAUGACUUCACCUCAAAAUACUUCAAGGUUUACUGAUUGAGUUUUAUGCUUUGAUACAAAAAAGUCACUUGUAACUUCCAGAAAAGCCUGUUUAUAGACAGUGCUUCUCCUUCAUAUUUUAUAUAUUUUUCUCUUUUGCAAGCAAGAAAAUGGGAUCUUUAUCUCUUUAAGAGCUCAUCUGCUUCUGUUUGCUGAAGCUUAUUCUUCACUUGAAGUCAUAAUCUGCCUGCAGUAUCACAAAUGGUUGCUCUGGGGAGGAUUAUAAUGCAAUAACGGCAGAGGAUCAUGAUUUCAGGUGGAAAAUUAAUUCCAUAUCAACAAAGAUAAUGCUACAAGGGCAGAGUCCUCAGACCAAAACCCAAAAUGCUUACUCAUUCCUGCAAUAAGAUUUUGCCAGAGCAAAAACCCAAAUCUGGAAAAUUUCAAAAUUUGGUAAUCAAAAAUAAAGACGGGAGUCAAAAGUCAUGUAAUAUGUGGGAACUGCCACUCCUAUGCUCAAUGCAAGACUAGAAUGGCCAGCAAUUCAUUCUCAAUGGUGAAAUGAACAGACACUCCUUGUGUCAUCUGUGUUAUUUAUCCUUCAGCUGAACCCAAAAUUGAAAACAUGUCAUGCUAUUACAGCAAUCAAAAUCUAAAAAUAUGAAAGUGACACAAAUAUCUGUUUGGUAAAGAGAGCACUAUUUUAGAUGUUAAGCCAGUGCUCAGAGAAGAGCAGAAAAGUAUUACAAAAUAUUCAGGGAUGCACAGCACACCACCUGAGACCAAAUCGCUGAGCAAACGCUAGAGAUUUUAAAAUCAUGCUGGCAAUACAAUGAGGUUGCUAUAACACCAUUAAGCUGUUUGUAGUUUCCUGUAUCAUGUGAAUGCUGUGUCACUGGACAGUGACAAACCUUUUCUUGUUCUUUGCAUUGAGAGUUGCUCAGUGCCUACUGCCUGACUCAUUUUUAUGCCUGUACUAUUUUGACACAAGGCAAACCAAACAAAUAAAACUUCAAAUAUAUAUUUUUAGAAAAAUCUGUUUUCUUGUAAAUACUAAAAUAACUGCACAAAGUGCACAACAUUUACACUAAAAAGUAUUUUUCCUUAAGGAAACAACUCAAAUGGCCACCAGAACUAGUUUUAGAUAUCACAGGGGAAGACAGGAGGCAAACCAGGAUUAUCCUCUCUCCAAAACCAUCCAUGCACAUCCUCCUAGUUAGUCUGUUUGAAUCCUUGAAGACUGAUCUUCCUAAUCAUCCUCUACAGUCAGCAGGAAGAGAGAGGUAUCUCUGGAGGCCAGCACAGAGCCAAAGCCUAGUUCACCUACUCUCAAGGGAGCUGUUCUGUCUUUGGAAGGUGGCUGGGGAGAUCAGCCUCUUUUAGAUGAAAUACAUCUUUGUGAAUUAAUCCUUUUAUGUCUUCUCUAAAAGUGUUUUUUUAUGGAAUAAGUGUGGUAAUAUUGAAAGGACCUACUGUGUCUAUACCCUAACCAACCAUGAAUGUUGCAAGCCUGGGUGCUGCGUGCCAGAGCACACAACCCAGUGGUUGUGUAAUAGGUUUUGUAAAAAAAUUUCUUAUCCAGCCAAAUUUUAACUUCACACCUCUGAUUCAGUGACUGGUUUCUUGUGCGUAGAAACACAGCAUGGGAUUCCUCUGACCAAAGCUCAGCAGACCUUCCCUCCCUGCGCUCCCUUUUGAGCCACUGAAGUCAGCAGGUCAGAUAAACCAUUCCCUAACAGCACCUAUUUCUCUCCAUUGGCCAUAAAGGGAGCCCAAGCUGACUUCUUCACUCAUAGAUAUCUAUACUGUAAGUAUCCAAAAUUAGAUAGGAUGGAACAGACCCACGAUGACUAGGUUUUGGUCUGCCUUCAAUACAGUAUUCAUCAUUCCAUAUAUAUAUUUAAUCAUCAAAUUUCCUCUUAUUUUCCUCCUUCUACAUGAAAUAAUACCACUGUCUUCCAUCACUGUUAUUUCGGCGAGAGUUUUACAUGUCCUUAUUCACAGACAUCACUCUUGCUGAUAUAUAUAUAAAAAAUAGUAUAGCACGUUUUUCUGUUCUGUUUAAAUAUUUUCCAUCCCAUCUUCUUUUCUGAUCAGACUAUACAUAACAAAGAGGUCUUCACUGAAUUGUCAAGAGUAAUUCAAAAGGUCCUUUCUGGAGACCACAAACUUCAAAAUUAAUAAAGUGGAUAAACAACUUUUAUCUAUAAUUUAUCCAGCCUUGCACUUAUGAACAUCAUGUGUGUUCAUUUGCCCCAUUCUCCAGAAUUUCUUCAGUAUGGUCUGGUAUUUAAUAACCAAGUAUGUGACACUUUGCGAUCCUUGUUAUGUUUUUCCCUAUUCCCAUUCUUAGCCCAUUCAUUAACAUAAAAACCAGGAUUUUGAAACUUCCUAAAAAACUUGUCUAAUUUUUACUUUUUUUAUUUACAGAUGAGGGCAUUUUGGACAAUGUGUUGAACCUUUUCCUUUCACUUUCUUAGUUUUUCUGUAUUUCUUUUUAGUUCUUUGUCUAGUAAUUUAAUAGCACCAUAUGAAUACAUUAGUACAUUAUUGCUUUAGUGACACGAAUCUUUGACUGCUCCAUUUUUUCAAUGUGUGAUUUUAUUAAUUCACCAGAUCCUUUUCCUUCCUAUUCUAGUUUCUACUAUCCCUUUUGCUUUGAUCAUAUAUUAUCUAUUAUCUUUAUUGUUGAUAAGAAACCAUAAUUUUUUCCAGUGUGUAAGUAUUUUAUGUAGAAUAUACUGGGUGUCAGAAUUCUAAUUCUGGAACCCAACCUUUACAGCCAGUAUGUGUUUUCAGAGUUAAUAUGCACCUCUGCUACGAGGACAGGCUGAGAGAGUUGGGGUUGUUCAGCCUGGAGAAGAGAAGGCUCUGAGGAGACCCUACAGCAGCUUUCCAGUACCUAAAGGAAGCCUACAGGAGAGAUGGGGAGGGACUCUAUCAGGGAGUGUAAUGAUAGGACGAGGAGUAAUGGUUUCAAACUGAAGUAGGGUAGAUUUACAUUGGAUAUUAGGAAGAAAUUAUUUACUGUGAGGGUCGUGAGGCACUGGAACAGCUCGCCCAGGGAGGCUGUGGAUGCCCCAUCCCUGGAAGUGUUCAAGGCCAGGCUGGAUGGGGCUUUGAGCAGCCUGGUCUAGUGGGAGGUGUCCCUGCCCAUGGCAGGGGGGUUGGAACUACAGGAUCUUUAAGGUCCCUUCCAACCCGAACCACUCUAUGAUUCUAUGAAUAAACAUUAAGAGAAGUAACAGUGCAUGAUGAUGCAUUCCUGUGAGCUGCUGGCUCCCCGCCGGUGCCUGCGCUCUCCCGGCCUUUCCCCGGCUCCGCAAACCUCAGGAAAAAGCCCCCUUUCUUUGCCGUGAAGCCCCGCUCCCUUGCGGACGUACCUGCCCCGGAGCCGUCCCUCGCCCAGCGGCCGCUGCUGGCGGUUACGCCCCGUUUCAACCUGCCGCCGUUACCGCUGGCCCCGCCCCGCCAGCCCGCCUCCUGCUGGCCACCGCCUCUCCCGCACCUACCGGUUUUUCCCUUCCAACCGUUUUUUUUCCCUUCCUAUCGAAGCAGGUAAGCUGUAACUCUAGGAAGAUCUGACGAUGUGUAAAGCAAAUACCCAAAGAGCAUCCCCAGUCACGCCUCGAGACACCCUUUAAAUACUCUGUCCUGUCUAAAUCUAUAAACCACAGAGGCUGGCCCGUUCUCCAGACAGUCCUACCGUCCUCCGACAAGAAGGCUUGCAGCCCUAUGCCUUCGUGAUGGCUUGUCCCAGUUCCUUCCCUGUUACCACAGGGCACUACAAGCCUACAGCAGGAACGGAACAAUUAUUUAAGAAUAAAAAUAAAUCAGAGUACUGCGUGAUCAGUGGUCUGCAAGGGAAAGUUUAAUUUACAAUAUACUAGCACAUUCCCUAAGCAUGUCCCUCUUCCACCCCUGCUUCCUCCGUUUUCCACCUCCUCAUUUCUCCUUAGCUCGGGCAGUGUACGGUAUACAUCAAGAAUUUGCCAUAAGGAAUUAACUUUAAAUAUUAAAAAUACAGGAAGAAGGAGAAUAAGAAAUAACAGAGAGAGUGCUGAACCACCCGCUAGUGCUGCCCAACGUCUAGUACAAAGAAAUGACUCUCUUCUGUCCAGUGUGCGUGAAGAUGGGUCUGCACUUUGCCAAGCAUAAAACAGAUGCAUAAUUGAUGAGAGACUUAACAGGCAUAUAUUAAAAAAACAGAUAACCUAGGGUGGAAUUCAGAUAUCUAUUAAGAUACCAACAAUAUUUCUGAACAGGUCUCUCCUUCAGGAGCUACUAGCCUAAGCUCCCGUUACAGCCAAUGAAAAAUUUACUCAAUACAUUCAGUGAGGCUUGAAAAACUGUUCGGCUCAUCCAGAAGCAGACAUCUACACUAGGUCAGCUGAGUAGCUCGGCAGACUAUAAACUGUAAAUGCUUACAGCAAGCUUAUCUUGCUGUAUAAGAAGAUGCUGGUUUUGCAAAGUCACUUUCCAACUCCGGCUGCACUUUACGUGGAGGAAGGUAGUGGCAGCAGAUCAGAAGAGAAUAAUGCCUCGACCUAGUUGUAUCACUUUGUUCUCUCUAGAAUGAAGGAGGAUAAAUAUAAUGCCUCAGUCUGACAUGAUUAUGCAUUUCAGUGUAGUUAGUGCUAUCCAUUUAGAUAAUAAUAAAUUAAGCUUUGUAAGAACUGUUUCAACUAUUUACCCUGCUAUCCCAAAGCCGAGUGCUGUAUUUAAGCAGCUGAGUGGACAGGGGCGAUAAGGACAUUGGCACAACUUGCAAGAAAUGUGUCUUUGCCCAAAUGUCAACUGCAGUUAGUUUCUACAGCUGAUGUAGUGUUUCCACAUUUCAGCUGUAACUCAUGUUUCAUUCUCGCUAAUGAGUCAGGAACAGCAACCACUGACUCUCCUUGAUGCAAGGCCGUAGGGCACAAGGGAGCACAGCGGAGGCUCAGACACUUUGGACGGCAGAAGUACCCAGAUAACAACCCAGUUAACAGCUACCCGGGCCCACAGGUGAUCUAGAAGCACAAGGAAUCAGCUCAAAAGCAAGCCAGCUUUGCUAGCACUAGGUCAAGAUCAUCCAUGGGCCUGAGGAUGCUCACACAUCUCUGCAACGGAGUGCUAAGUCCUCGUCCAGGGGAGAUGGAGGGGCCCGAGCGCACCCUCCUCAGAGCCUGAGAACCCUCCGGAGUGCAGAGCACAGGGGUUAGGCUGAGAAGCCACAGCUCUGGAUGGCACCCGCUCAUGUUUGACAUGACCAGGCUCAACCAGCCCAGCUCAGCUGAAUCGGAUCCUGCAUGAAAACAGCAAGGUGACUUCACGUAGUGCUCUGUGUGGUUCCUCCACAGCACACCGAAGGUACCUCUCCCUAAAAAAGCCUGGGAGCAGAAGACUGUCAGUGACAUUUCCAUGCCCUAGGAAAACACAUAUAACAACCCAGGAGCAGAAACAGCACCGAGGGCCAAACUACCCUGUUCAUGCGGUGCUUUCUUUCAUUUAAUACCCUCAGCCUUAAGUGCUGAGCUGUUUCUGAAAGGGCAUCCACAACCUGAUCUGUCACCCUAAUCAUGGUAACUAAGAAAUCAGUAUAGAUGCUUAAGCUUUUCUGAGCUGUAUGUGAUCUACGGACCCCUACAUGACCCUUUCUGUCUGUAUAAGAAGUUUCUACAGCAGAUGUGCUCACCACAAGUAUGACCUCAGCUGUUUUAAUUCACAGUUUCAAUCCGAGGUUAGUUUUGUUCAAAAAACAGUAGCUAGAAAUUCCCAUUCUGUACAAUGUGGCUGCUAACAGACGGGUGGCAAUAAGCCAUGCUCCACCUGGUUCCCCUUGAAACCGGGGCUCCGCUUGCUUGCAAGCAGCUGCUGGUGCGCACCAGGAAUGUGCACUGUAACUGGCAUAAAACACAACUGAAGCCGGAACCUCAUCUAAAACACGCACUUCCAGAGAUAACAGUAGACACUGAGAAGCCUAGAUAUGUAAAUAUUUACACAAUAGCUAGGAGCUUGUUGACAUAACUAUACUAAUGGGAAACUAAGUAGUAGGAAGAACUUUUAUUAUGUACCGGAUCUUUAUGCAGUGGUUGUCCCUAUGUGAGCAUGUGUUCAUUUAUAAUGCAGGUCCCAAUAUGCAGUGUAACAAGACCAUGCCUUACCACUCACGUGGAUCAUGGCACAAUGUCAGUCCUUUACGGGGUGAUUGAUGGAGCUAAGAGGAGAUCCCCUCAGCAUUUCAAUGCUCUGCAGACUGUCAGAAACCAGAACACAGAUGCAGGCAACCAGAUGGCUAUAGAAAUAUAUCGGGCAUUUCUAGACUGCGCUGUAGUACAGAGUAAAGGCAGCCGACUUAACUCCUCUGGAGUUAGCUCUUGAACCCAAGUGCUCUUGCUGCAGCAACCAGGGAAUUGCCACGUACUUUGCGAUAAAAUUGCCAAGCAGGCUGUUUCUCAGCAUAGACCCAUGCUUGCUAGGCUAUCUGAAAGCAGCACUGCAGUGAAUAAAGCUGGUGAUGGACAGACAACGUACAGUAAGCAGAAUCUCAGUGAUACCUAGUUUGCCAUGUAACAGCUCAGGAUCAUCUACUCUGGGCCACAUUGUUGGACAUGUUAUGAAAAAUGGAUAGAAGGAUUUGUCCUUACACAGUGUAACCUGUAUUUAUAGCUCUCCAUUCAUUCCUGUACAUAAGUGCUUUCAUACAUCUAAGAAAAUUUAUUUUUGUCUUUAUUUUCCCUUGAACCUGUUCCUUAACUCUUAGGCGGCUAAUGGAAAAACAGCUUAAACAUCCUGGGGGAAAAGCAUGGUAACACAAAGGUAAAAUAUUUUCAGGCUGAUUCAGCUCCGUAAAGACAAAGAAACAUCCUUUGAAUAGGGGAAUGAAUGUAUUUUCCUGGGUAGUCCUUUAUAUUUCUGUUGCUCCUUGAAUGCACUCCCUCCAAUCAAACAGAAGACUCAAAUUCAGCUUGGAGGGUCUGUUGAUUUCUCUUUUCAUUGGAGCUGUACAUAUCUGGAGCAGUGUAUAAACAACUGCAACGCUCGGGAUGAAUUAUGGUGCAACUCUUCAAAGACUAUUCAUUAUUGUUUUGUAAGAUACCAAGAACUGCAUCUUUAGGCAACUGCCUCACAGUCAGCCUCAGAAGGGGGACGAUUACGGCAAAAGUAUGCUUAGGGAUAAAUUUAUGAAUUCUGUUUCAGGGCAUUGGUUGUUGGCAAAGUCAAUGUAUACAUUUACCGGAGUUUAUGUUACACUACAGUUUUGCAUCCAUUGUACCAUAAUGGAUGAUUUAGCAAAUUCAUUUGCUCUUAAAAAUUGUCAUCAGUCUUGGUUGACCUAUUUCACUACCAGUCUUGUCACAACAAUAGAGUGAAUAUAUAUUAACCUUGUAGUGACUGUUCAGUAAACUAAGAAUAAAAUGUAGGGUCUGCAAAACUCAAACGACCGAAUGUUAUUCCUUUGCUACAGCUGUGGUUAAUACAUGCUGCCAGCCCUCCCAGAGUCUUUUCACGAAGUGCCACUUCCCAUUUGCCUUACUGGUGUGUCUAGCCCCACCAGACAUACACCUGGGUUAUGUGAAGUCAGAAUUUACAGUGGACUGUAAAACCUCUAUGGAUUUACUUCCUAGUAGGUUUAUACCUGUAGGUCUUAGUGGAAGCUUUCACAGGAAACAUGCCCGAAAUACAUGAGUCAAAAUAAAAUAAAUACAAAAAGAUACCAUAUUGCUAGUGACUACCCACUGACACUGAUAACUUCAGUUCCUGAGAUCACAGUAUUUCUAAUUUAAAAGGUAAGAUAAAGGAAAACUCUAAAGCUCAGAGACAAUACCAGGCAAAAGAUUUGUAAGUCUGGUGAUUUUUUUUCCCCCAACAAUAUGAAAACCAUCAACUACUGGUAUAGCAAUUUGCACAAUUAUCCGUUCACAAUCUCAU